AUGUCACCAAGUGACUCAAAAUGGCCGUUUGUGUCGAAAAGGAGGCAAUACCCAAUAUCAGUUUGUUUUGCAAUGACAAUAAAUAAGAGUCAAGGGCAGUCGCUAAAACAUGUGGGGCUAUAUUUACGAAAGCAGGUCUUCACACAUGGUCAACUCUAUGUAGCGGUAUCAAGAGUCACAAGUAGAGAUGGACUUAAAGUUCUAUUUUCAGAUGAAGAAUCAAGGAAAAUAAUUCGGCAAAAAAUAUUGUGUACAAGGAGAUCCUUUAGUAAAGAGACCUUAGAAUAUUUCUAUUUUACUCUAUGUAACCUUCUUCAAAAGGAAUUCAUAUGGAUUUCAGAUGAAUCAGGUAUUUCUGCGGACACAAAUGACUAUGUUUGA
rnacentral:rRNA from 1 species